rnacentral:rRNA from 1 species
AACGAACGUUGGCGGCGUGCCUAACACAUGCAAGUCGAGCGCGGGCAGGACUUCGGUCCUGUUCCGAGCGGCGCACGGGUGAGUAACACGUGAGUAACCUGCCUCGAAGUUUGGGAUAACCGCCCGAAAGGGUGGCUAAUACCGGAUAAGCCCCCACUGGCACAGGCCAGAGAGGGAAAAGCCUUGGCGCUUCGAGAUGGGCUCGCGUCCCAUUAGCUAGUUGGUGAGGUAACGGCUCACCAAGGCGAAGAUGGGUAGCUGGUCUGAGAGGAUGAUCAGCCACACUGGAACUGAGACACGGUCCAGACUCCUACGGGAGGCAGCAGUGGGGAAUAUUGCACAAUGGACGAAAGUCUGAUGCAGCAACGCCGCGUGGAGGAUGACACAUUUCGGUGCGUAAACUCCUUUUAUAUGAGAAGAUAAUGACGGUAUUAUAUGAAUAAGCACCGGCUAACUCCGUGCCAGCAGCCGCGGUAAAGU